rnacentral:lncRNA from 1 species
GGCUAGUAAAUGGUGGAGGCAGAAUUCAAGCCCAUUCUGGAUGGCCCUGAGGAUCAUGCUUUUUCCACCGAAUCUUUCAGUGCUGUGCUGUCCAUGAGCUGGUGUCCGGGGCUUUGAACCUUUCCACAACAUGAACAGCUUAUCUUGUUCCACUCGAUCAAAAACAUUUCAUAAUGCCGGCUCCUUCCACAAGGUCACCUUGAAAUCUCUCCCCUGCUCGAAGCAUCCUGAACCCUCCUUUCCCUUAGAGAAG